UGACCACGAGUAACUACACUUCUGUGUACAUUGAAGGUUUUAUUUUGAAGUGAUCCACCGGAAGUGUGAAUAUGCUAUAAUGUCUGCAUUGACGCUACUUUGACUAGUUUAUCAGUUCCUCUCUGUCGCCACUAGAGGGCAGCAAACACUCGUGAUUUCAACCUCCCAUGAAGGAAAUUUGAGGUGGAGGCUGCUGUACAUUCUCACGCUGUCUGAACGCGUCCUUCAUUCAUGUAGUGAUCUGUGUUCACUGGGUGGAGCUCCAGCUGUCAGAGGAUGGAGCAAAGACAAGGUGACCGGAAGUCCUGCUCCGAUCUUCCUGUCACCUCCUCCUCCUACUUGCACCCCCUCCAGCUCCUCAUCAGAGAAAGGGCUGUGGCGAUUGAAGCCAACGUCGGUGCUGCGCUGCAAGAAGUCUGUGGAUCGUGGCAUCCCAACAGGAAAA